ensembl:lncRNA
CUUCAAGGCCCAGCCGCGUCGGCCCAAAGCUGCCGCCAACAGCUUCUCCGGAGCUCACGAUGUCUUUUUGCCCUGCGCUCGUUCUCUCCUAUAAUCUCUUAGCGUCUGUUCCGCAGGACAAAGACACAGCAGUUGGAGUUAGGAAAUCCAGGCCCGAGUCCCUGGUCCCACACUGGCAGGCCCUGUGACCUCGGGCAUGUCACCACACAUCCCCCAGGUACUCUCAGCCAGGCCCGGGCCAGCUCAGAGGAGCGAUGGUGAACAGUCCCUACGCUCGAGAGCUCCCAUUCCAAUGUUUGCAUCUGGAAAACAGGCACUGUAGCAGCCACCCCUCCAGCCGGCUGAGAGCAGGGAGCAAGAACAAGGCGUGAGGGGCCGCUUGUGCGCUCGAACGCGCCGGCCGAGUUCUGUUCCCUAAUAAUUCCUCCACGGACGCCUCGUCUUCCCCGUCUGCACACGGGGGUAUGAAGGCAGAUUUAUCUCAGCCCUUUCUAGCAGCCAGCAGAGCGCGAGGCAGCGCAGGCAGCAGCCAGGAGCUUGGUCUCCCGGCCAUUCUGUCUGAUUUGCAUCUUGGUGCUGUCUUUUCCCACCUUUGGGACCCUGGACAAGUUAUUCAGCUCUGUGCCUCAGUUUCCUCAUCUACAAAAUGGGAGACGACAGCGCCUAUCUCCCUUUCAUGUCCUAGGGCUGCUCUAACACGUUAAGUAUGCUCUCGCGGUUCUGGAGCCCAGGAGUCCCAGCUCGAGGUCUCGGCAGGCGGGCCGUGCUCCCUCCGAAGGCUGGAGAGGAGAAUCCUUCCCUGUCUUUCCAGCUCCUGGUGGUUCCAGGCACUCCUUGGCUUGGGCCGCAUGGCUCCCAUCUCUGCCCUGUCUUCACGGGGCUUCUCCUCCGUCUGUCUCUCCUCCGUGUGUCUUCUCUAAGGACUCCUGGCUUUGGCUGGAGGGCCCAUCCGGAUAACCCAGGAUGGUCUUGAGAUCCUUAAUUCCACCCGCAAAGGUCCUUUUCCCAAACAUGGUCAUAUUCACAGGCUCUGGAGAUUAGCACGCGGACGUCUUUUGGGGUCACCAGUCACCCCACGACAGUCGACUCAAGAGGACGCGUUCCAGGCUCAGUGCACAGCUGGGAUCGUUGUGAGCACUCGGCUGAUAGGAGCUACUGCCAUUCUGCAUCCAGAGGCUGUGUGUGAGGUUCAGCUGUGGAGACGCCCCCGACCAGCCUCACUGGGUCACAGGGAACAGAACCCGAAGAGUAGAAUGAUCGGGCACCCUUUCUCCCCAGUCUCCAGGGCUGGCAGCCUGACUUGCCAGGCUGCAUUUUCCAACUUGACCAAACUCGCUUUAGCCUUGAGACUCCGCCAUUCUCUCUGUUCUAAACCAGCUUUUUGCAGAAACCACCAAUUAUUGCAAAGUCUGCAUUUUGCUUCACUACAAUUAGGGGACCCCUGGCCGGGGGCUGAGGAGAACAAGUCAUGAAACAGCCCCAUGCAGGAGGGGAGAAACGGCCAGCAAAGGCGGUCUCGAUGGGGCAUCAUCUUGUUUAGUCUCAGGUGGAAGCCAGUUUGGCCUCAUCAGGACCAGACGAAGACCAGUGCGGGACAGAGGUGCUUCUGAGGUGGCUGGCUCGGUUCCAGGCCAGUGGAAGGACCCAAGCUCAGAGCCAGACCUGCUGUGACCUGGGGUGGAGGUGAAGCAGAAGGGGUGCCCUCAGAGAAUGCAGAAGGCACAGGGGCCCUGUGCCGGCAGAGAGGGAAAUGGAGAAACCAGAAGGAAGAGCCUGGCCCCACAGGAAGCAGAAGACAGACCUGAUCCUCCAAGAAGCCAGGCUUGAGCUCCGCCAGGGGCCACUCACCCCAUUCAGGAGAAGAGAGAGAUUCGCCCAUCAAGCGGGUGCAGCUGGCCGCUGAGACGCGGCGCCUAGGAGCUGAGUUCCGGGCCCGCAUCGCAUCGCAUCGCAGAGCCGUGGCGCCGUCACAGAAGCAUCCUGUGUUGCUGAUUUCGUUGGUUCCUUCGUUCUCCAAGGAGAUGUUAUACCUGCCAGGGGCUGGACCUGAGGACUCAGCGGGAACCACAGAGGCCACCCUCACUGCUCUGUGUGUGCUCAUGGCUCCUCAAAUACAC